GGACGGGUAGCUCAGUUGGUUAGAGUAUGCGCUUCACAUUUGUGUGUUCGCGCAAGGUCGAGGGUUCGAUCCCCCCUUCGUUCA